rnacentral:rRNA from 1 species
CAGUCGCCACGGUAAUACGGAGGGUGCGAUCGUUAAUCGGAAUUACUGGGCGUAAAGCGUACGCAGGCGGUUUGUUAAGUCAGAUGAGAAAUCCCCGAGCUUAACUCGGGAACUGCAUUUGAAACUGGCAGGCUAGAGUCUCGUAGAGGGGGGUAGAAUUCCAGGUGUAGCGGUGAAAUGCGUAGAGAUCUGGAGGAAUACCGGUGGCGAAGGCGGCCACCUGGGACAACACUGACGCUGAGGCACGAAAGCGUGGGGAGCAGACAGGAUUAGAUACCCCAGUAGUCCCUGUCUCUUAUAC